GUCCUGAUAGUUUAAGUAAAAUCUAGAAUGUAACUUUGAAACAGUUAAGGUCAAUAACUAUUGUCAGAGCG
rnacentral:tRNA from 1 species